rnacentral:lncRNA from 1 species
CCUAAUUCAUACUUUCUUCUCUCCGUUUCAUAAAUAUUUGUUUUCCAGGUAUCACAGAAAGAAUUGAAAGGCAAGGUUGUCAGACAGAUAUGGCAGCUAAGACACCAACUGAGGAAUGUUAUCAAUGUAGCUCCGUGAAAUUGCCAUAUUUUACAUCCUGCAGUUCUGCAGUCAAGUGGUGGUAUUUUUGUCACAGCCCACAUCAAAGCCCAGAUGGCAUGAGGGAGGGAUGGAAAUGGGGCUCCAUAACCCUCAGGAACUCUGAAGAUUUCAUCUCCUAAGUGGAGCCAGAAUCCAGACGCUGGGAAAUGUGAAUGUUCCAAUAUGGCUGACCAUCAUGGAAUGGGAUCAACAGAUGGAAAUAGGAGGCUUCAUCUUCUUCAUCUUGGUCCUGAGGCUCCAUCAGCCAGGUUUCCAGCACACAUUAAACCCAGGGCUAGAGUCUUUAUCAAAAGAAGACAUUUGGACACAGACACAUACACAGAGAGGACACUGUGUGAAGACGAAGACAGAGAUUGGAGUGAUGCAUCUGCCAGCUGGGGAAUACUGAAGUCUGCCAGCAGCCACCAGCAGCCAGGAGAGGGACAGGGUGCAAAUUCUCCUUCACAGCCCUCAGAAGGAACCAACCCUGCUGACACCUUCGUCUUGGACUUUCAACAAUAUGAUUCUGUUGUGGGCUCUGUGAGGAGCAAAGGAAAGCACACCACAAGAGCCAGAGGGAGAGAGCUUGGCAGAACUCUGGAGGGAGCCUUUCCAAGACCUGCUUUUAGUGGAAGCUACAAAACCUCCUGGGAGGAGACUGAAUUCCAUGUUGGUGUUGCACUAUUGCUUUAAAGUGCCACCCUUUCCCUGGGACCAGCAGACAAUUGUACCCAUUAUUUUCUGGUUCUAAGGAAGGAUAAACUUCCUUCUAAGGCUUCAGGGAUGACAGAUGCCUUCUUGG